AUUUACCCAGAUCUACUCUGACUGUGACUCCAAACAGUCCUGUAUUCACUGGAGAGAGAGUGAGUCUGACGUGUGUGAUUGAGUCUUACAGUGACUGGAGACAGAGAAAUGGCCUGACAUAUGACCGCCGGAGAUAUGACUGGACAUAUUACCAGACAUAUGAGUGGAGAUAUGAGUGGUAUAAAGGCAGUGUAAUGUUACAGUCGUCUGAGCGUUACACUGUAAACAGAGACACUCUCACUAUCAGAGGAGCUACUGAGUCUGAUCAGGAUCAGUUCUGGUGUAGAGGACAGAGAGAUGAAAGACCAAACUCAUCACAAUCAAGCUCUGUUUAUCUCAGGGUGAAGGAUUUACCCACAUCUACACUGACUGUGACACCAGACAGUCCUGUAUUCACUGGAGAGACAGUCAACCUGACGUGUGUGAUAAACUCUAAUCACAGUGACUGGAGAUAUAAGUGGUAUAAAGGAGGAAACAACAGUGUGAUGUUACAGACGUCUGAGCGUUACACUGUAAACAGAGACACUCUCACUAUCAGAGGAGUGAAUGAGUCUGAUCAGGAUAAGUUCUGGUGUAGAGGACAGAGAGAUGAAAGACCAAACUCAUCACAGGAGAGUGAACGAAUAAAUCUGUCUGUUAAUGGGAACAGGAACUGGGAAGUCCAAAUAUGGGCAUAG
ensembl:lncRNA